rnacentral:lncRNA from 1 species
GAGGAGAGAGAGAGAGAGAGAGAGAGAGAGAGAGGUGGUGUCACCGCGAUCGGCGGUGAGGAGAUGCCGGGCCUGGGACGUCAAAGAGAGCCGUGUCCCCCCCUACUGCUGGAAACCCUUAUGGGAAUUAGCUCAGCUUUGUUGCAGAGAGAGAAGGGAAGGGAAGAAAAAAAGGGGGAAAGAGAGAGGGGGCUUUGAAAAGGGUGGGAUGAGGAGAAAAGAGGGUGAGAAGAGGGAGUGGAGGGGUAGGGAGAGAGGUGGUGGGGUUUUAAGUUUUCUU